CUAGAAGGUGUCGAAGUGUGUCAAUCGGGUGUUUUUGGGUGUUUCUCGGUGCUUUGACGUUUUUGACAAUUAAUGUGAUAGACGUCACAUUUUUCCAGAUUAUUGGCAACACUUCAGAAGUUCUUUCAUCGUUGUUUUGUUUUGAUGUAAAUUUAACCAAACCAAGUUCAAACAACACGGCCGAAGCGACUUUACACCUUCCCGCAUGUUGCGGAAUUCCGGUCCCGCUAUUUUCCAACAACUUUCAUGCCAGGAAUCGGAAGUUGCCGAGCAAAAGCUGGUAUUGGAUUUAACUCCCUUGGAAGCAAGUGCAGUCCAGCAGGAUGCGUCGCCAAAACUCAAUUAAACGGAACACCCAAGCAAAGCGAGCCACAAAAGCAGUCGAGCGAAGAAGGACAAAACCAUCGAUGCUGCUUCAGCCACAAUCAUCGAGCAUGCUGUGCUGGAGGACAUUCUUGAAGAAGAUCUGAAGGAAGAGACAUCGAAUAGUUAGAAAUCGUUGAGUCAAACGCUGACGUGGUCUGGCAAGGACAAGGGAAUGAUGUUUCCCGUGUGAUGAAGCGAAGGCGAACGAUGAUCUAUAGCCACUGAAGAAGAAAUCGGUAGAAAAAUUGAAGUGGGCGGAUCUUAGUCGGUUGAAUCGAUGAACAAUGAACGGAAAUUGAUCGGUACAGGAAGACGAGAAGAGCAA